GAUGAACGCUGGCGGCGCGCCUAACACAUGCCAGUCGAACGAAGCUCAGAGAAGCAUGUUCUUCUUAGCUUAGUGUCUUACGGCUGAGUAACGCACGAGUAACUUACCCUGGGGUGACGGACAACAGAUGGAGACGUCUCAUAUUACCGCAUCAGCUCAUGCUGCAGAAUCGGACAGAGGGGCAUGGUGUUGUGUGCUACAAGAUGGACGCGCGUCCGAUUAGCUAGUUGGUGAGGUAACGGCCCACCAAGGCGACGAAUCGUAGCCGGACUGAGAGGGUGACCGGCCACAUUGGGACUGAGACACGGCCCAAACUCCUACGGGAGGCAGCAGUGGGGGAUAUUGCACAAUGGGGGAAAGCCUGAUGCAGCGACGCCGCGUGAACGAAGAAGUUUUUCGGAAUGUAAACCCCUAUCAGCAGGGACGAUAAUGACGGUACCUAACAAGAAAGCACCGGCUAACUACGUG
rnacentral:rRNA from 1 species